GACGAACGCUGGCGGCGUGCUUAACACAUGCAAGUCGAACGGUAAGGCCCUUCGGGGUACACGAGUGGCGAACGGGUGAGUAACACGUGGGUGAUCUGCCCUGCACUUCGGGAUAAGCCUGGGAAACUGGGUCUAAUACCGGAUAGGACCACUGCCUGCAUGGGUGGUGGUGGAAAGCUUUUGCGGUGUGGGAUGGGCCCGGGGCCUAUCAGCUUGUUGGUGGGGUGAGGGCCUACCAAGGCGACGAAGGGUAGCCGGCCUGAGAGGGUGACCGGCCACACUGGGACUGAGAUACGGCCCAGACUCCUACGGGAGGCAGCAGUGGGGAAUAUUGCACAAUGGGCGCAAGCCUGAUGCAGCGACGCCGCGUGAGGGAUGACGGCCUUCGGGUUGUAAACCUCUUUCAGCACCGACGAAGCGCAAGUGACGGUAGGUGCAGAAGAAGGACCGGCCAACUACGUGCCAGCCGCCGCCGUAA
rnacentral:rRNA from 1 species